UGUCUGGUGUGGUAGUAACAGUGUCCAGUGUCCCUUGGCAUAUGUAUGGACUGGGUCUGGGGUGUAUCAGACUGGGCUAGGCUCCAGAACCCACUGGUGUUC